UACGUAGGGUGCGAGCGUUAAUCGGAAUUACUGGGCGUAAAGCGUGCGCAGGCGGUUUUGUAAGUCCGAUGUGAAAUCCCUCGGCUUAACCGGGGAACUGCGUCUGAUACUGGUUGGCUCGAGUUUGGGAGAGGGAUGCGGAAUUCCAGGUGUAGCGGUGAAAUGCGUAGAUAUCUGGAGGAACACCGGUGGCGAAGGCGGCAUCCUGGACCGGCAUUGACGCUGAGGCGCGAAAGCCAGGGGAGCAAACGGG
rnacentral:rRNA from 1 species